CACGUACUGUGCGAACGUUAUUCGGAAUCACUGGGCUUAAAGGGUGCGUAGGCGGCUUGGCAAGCCAGGUGUGAAAUCCCGCAGCUCAACUGCGGAACUGCGCUUGGAACUGCCAGGCUUGAGUGAGAUAGGGGUGUGCGGAACUUCCAGUGGAGCGGUGAAAUGUGUUGAUAUUGGAAGGAACACCGGUGGCGAAAGCGGCACACUGGGUCUCAACUGACGCUGAGGCACGAAAGCCAGGGGAGCGAACAGG
rnacentral:rRNA from 1 species